GAAGGACAACAUCGAUCAUCCUCUGCAUCCGUUCUGGGUUAAAGUUCACCUCAGCUACAACCAUCUAAAGCCAGGAAACAGGUUUAGAAAAUAAAACCUCUUUUUUGGUUCUAGAGACGCCCGCCUCUCAUUUCUACAAAAACUUUCCGUCCUUUCAGGAUUUUGACACCAGGUGAAUCUUCAGGAUGUCCUCCUUCUUCAGGACUUUGACUCUGAUGUUUCUGCUCCUGCGUGGACUUUCAGCAGAUGACAGUGUGUCACUAAACUGCAGCCAAACAGUGGAAGUUACAUAUGGAGAGGAUCUGAAUCUUAGUUGUGACAUUAAAUGGAAACAACCUGAUUGCCAGUAUGAAAACAUUUCAGUUAAGUGGAUCCACACAACAGAAAACCUCUGUGAGAAGAACAGAUGUGAAAAUAAAACCUUUGCCUCACUGCAAAUGUUUAAUGUCAUCGAGGAGAAGAACAUCAGCGUUAGCAUUAGUGCUAAUUGUGGCACGGAUUCUGUCCGUAUCAGCCUGAAGAUCAAACCUGAUGAGCAGCUUUCUGUCCUAUUUAGUUUGGGAUGUUUUGACUUUGCUCCUUUAAAUAAAAAGAGAUGUUCAUUUUUGCUGAAAAGGUGGAACCAAGGCGCUGAUGAACAAUAAACACGAGUUUACUCCAAAACCA